AGGAUGAACGCUGGCGGCGUGCUUAACACAUGCAAGUCGAACGAUGAAAGCCGGAGCUUGCUCUGGCUGGAUUAGUGGCGAACGGGUGAGUAACACGUGAGUAACCUGCCCUUGACUCUGGGAUAAGCACUGGAAACGGUGUCUAAUACCGGAUACGAGCUUCAGCCGCAUAGCUAGGAGCUGGAAAGAAUUUCGGCAAGGAUGGACUCGCGGCCUAUCAGGUAGUUGGUGAGGUAAAGGCUCACCAAGCCGACGACGGGUA
rnacentral:rRNA from 1 species